GAUGAACGCUGGCGGCGUGCCUAACACAUGCAAGUCGAGCGAUUCUCUUCGGAGAAGAGCGGCGGACGGGUGAGUAACGCGUGGGUAACCUGCCCUGUACACACGGAUAACAUACCGAAAGGUAUGCUAAUACGAGGUAAUAUGCUUUUAUCGCAUGGUAGAAGUAUCAAAGCUUUUGCGGUACAGGAUGGACCCGCGUCUGAUUAGCUAGUUGGUAAGGUAACGGCUUACCAAGGCGACGAUCAGUAGCCGACCUGAGAGGGUGAUCGGCCACAUUGGAACUGAGACACGGUCCAAACUCCUACGGGAGGCAGCAGUGGGGAAUAUUGCACAAUGGGCGAAAGCCUGAUGCAGCAACGCCGCGUGAGCGAUGAAGGCCUUCGGGUCGUAAAGCUCUGUCCUCAAGGAAGAUAAUGACGGUACUCGAGGAGGAAGCCCCGGCUAACUACGUGCCAGCCGCCGCGGUAAUAC
rnacentral:rRNA from 1 species